rnacentral:tRNA from 1 species
UGCAGCGUAGCUUAAAGGUAAAGCACCAAGCUCAUAACUUGGUCGAUGCGGGUUCAACUCCCGCCGCUGUAACCA